GUGCCUUAAACUAACGAGUAAGGAAAAUAACAUGUCAUGCUAACCGCAUGAUGAUGCUUUAGCACAAUGAAACAAUAAUGCGCGGCACUUGUUGCUUAGCAAAAAUUGUUUUCUUAAAGCUUAAUUUUUUGAUGGGCAAGAGGUCGUCCCCUUGAAUUAGCAUCACUACUUUUGAUGCUGGAUUCGGGUGAAGCGAUUUAGCCC